rnacentral:rRNA from 1 species
GGCGGCAGGCCUAACACACGCAAGUCGAGCGGAAACGAGAAUAGCUUGCUAUUCGGCGUCGAGCGGCGGACGGGUGAGUAAUGCUUGGGAAUAUGCCUUUUGGUGGGGGACAACAGUUGGAAACGACUGCUAAUACCGCAUAACGUCUACGGACCAAAGUGGGGGACCUUCGGGCCUCACGCCAAGAGAUUAGCCCAAGUGGGAUUAGCUAGUUGGUGAGGUAAUGGCUCACCAAGGCGACGAUCCCUAGCUGGUUUGAGAGGAUGAUCAGCCACACUGGAACUGAGACACGGUCCAGACUCCUACGGGAGGCAGCAGUGGGGAAUAUUGCACAAUGGGCGCAAGCCUGAUGCAGCCAUGCCGCGUGUGUGAAGAAGGCCUUCGGGUUGUAAAGCACUUUCAGUCAGGAGGAAAGGUUAGUCGUUAAUAGCGGCUAGCUGUGACGUUACUGACAGAAGAAGCACCGGCUAACUCCGUGCCAGCAGCCGCGGUAAUACGGAGGGUGCGAGCGUUAAUCGGAAUUACUGGGCGUAAAGCGUACGCAGGCGGUUUGUUAAGCGAGAUGUGAAAGCCCCGGGCUCAACCUGGGAACUGCAUUUCGAACUGGCAGACUAGAGUGUGAUAGAGGGUGGUAGAAUUUCAGGUGUAGCGGUGAAAUGCGUAGAGAUCUGAAGGAAUACCGAUGGCGAAGGCAGCCACCUGGGUCAACACUGACGCUCAUGUACGAAAGCGUGGGGAGCAAAC